rnacentral:lncRNA from 10 species
UAAUGAGCCCUAGGACCUGUCUAACCUCCAGGACUGCUGUAAGGAUAAAACAACCUUCACUAUUCCCUUUAUCACUUAUUUAGCCAAUCUUUGUCAUCGCACUGAACACAGGGCAUCAAUUCUUUCUAAAGACCACAAAAUGGCAAAGCUAAUGACAAAUGAAAACAAUUGUAACAUUUCACAGAGAUGGUUCAUAUCCAUAACACAGGAAGAGUGCUUACAUACAAAUUUAAAUAUAUAUGGGCCAUUAAAAGUUGGCAAAAGUCAAGAAUAUGCAUUGACUUUUGCCAAUAAAUGUAGAAACAAAGAAAAUGAUUUUGUGUGGGAGAAGCAGCACAAAGGCCAAUAAACAUAUUUUUAUGUUGAUGCUCAUUUUGAAAUUUUGAAAUUGCUUGGUUAUUAGACCUGCUACUGGAUGGUGUGAUUUAGUGUGUUAAUGAUAAUGCCCA